ACGUAGGUGGCAAGCGUUGUCCGGAUUUACUGGGCGUAAAGGAUGCGUAGGCGGACAUUUAAGUCAGAUGUGAAAUACCCGAGCUUAACUUGGGUGCUGCAUUUGAAACUGGGUGUCUAGAGUGCAGGAGAGGUAAGUGGAAUUCCUAGUGUAGCGGUGAAAUGCGUAGAGAUUAGGAAGAACACCAGUGGCGAAGGCGACUUACUGGACUGUAACUGACGCUGAGGCACGAAAGCGUGGGGAGCAAACAGGA
rnacentral:rRNA from 1 species